GGUUAUGACACCGCAUCCUAGAACACAAACGCAAAUCCGUCAGGACUGGCCUUCCGCUGAGUAAACCAGCUUUCUCGGCAAUAAGAGAACAUUCUCAACUUCACUCACACCCUUUCUGUAAUACAGAUUUAGUAUUCUACCUUCACACUUCUCCCGCCCUGACCUUAACAUCUCAGAAUCCCUGCUGAUACAGAUGAAACCCGGGUUCAACCAUACAGCAACAGCAACCACCUUAUUCACUCAAUAGAUCUUCCCUCUCAACCUCCCACUUUCGUACUAAUGACGGAGUUUUAGUUAUACUUUCUAAUAAACAUGAAAUUCUU